ACGGAGGCACUGAGUUCAUCCAAGCAGCAAAGUUUUGGCUGAGAAAACUGAAUUUAAGAUUAAUAUGAUCAAUGGAGUUUGAGUUACCUGAAGGAGGCGCAGCCAGAAUGGAAUAACGGCUACAGCUAUGUAUAGAAACUUUUAGGCCGCGGCGGAGGCUCAUGUCCCCCAACAAAUUUAAAAAAAAACGGAUGGCUCGUCUCUCUCUGCUAUCUAACUGGCAUGGCUUCUCCUAUGGUCUGGCUGGCGCGGCGACAUCCCAGACCAGAGAAACUGGUAGCCACCCUCCAACUUCAAUAAGUUGUCCAGAAUUUCUUUGUUACUUUUACCAUUGAUUUACUCCAAGAUUGAUAUCAAGAAGCUUUGAUAGUUUUUUAAAAAAAUGAUUAUUUAAUUUAUGUUCGAAUGGCUGGAGUAAAGCCUAAAUUUAGAGUAUGUUGAUUGAAAAUUUCAUGCAUGUAUGAAAUGAAUUCAGUGAUAUACUUUGCAAAGAGUUGCUUCCUAGCAUGAAAGGUUCAGCUCCGUCACUGCAGUUAGAAAAUGUGGUACCUGGCUCGUCAUCUGAUCUGCCAUGAAAAAAUCAAUGAAGGUAACCUGCAAAAAGGGCAGCCUGAAUUCAGAUGGCAAAGUGGUGUGAUAGUUUCAUUUGUAUGGUUUCCUGUUUUUCAUGAU